UCCAGCAACAUAGCCAUUAUGCUGGUCCCCUAAUUUUGGAUACCUUAUGAGUAUCUGCACUAUCCAUAGUCCUGGUACCAUCAUGUUUAAAAAUAUGUUUUAAUUUACUCAUCAAAUGUUGACAUUUUAUGUCAAAACAUAUUUACCUCAGCUACAAUUUAUGUAGGACAGUAUGACAUAAUAUUUUUGUAGCCACCAUAGUUGGUAUAUUGACUUACAAGUAGAAGUAGAAAGAAUAUUGGAAAAAUAUGUUCCUUCCUCUGAUAUCUUUCUUUAAUGGACAGUAAGUGACCCAGUACUUCAUUGGGUUUCAUUGGAAAAUUAAUGUGCAAAAAAGUAAUCUUUCUCUUAUGAAAUAGAAUUAAAUUAUUUUAAUUGGUUGUAUAAAAAACUAGAAAUGCCAAGUAAUAUAUGUCAUUCCUCUUGUCUCAUCCUCCAUUUUUUUUUCCUUCUCAGUGGAUCUCCAGCUUGAUUUUGCCUCAGUCCCUCCUGAUUUCUCAGGUGCCGCCUUUGUAAAGGAGCACCACCGGCAACUCCAAGUCAGGCUAGGAGACCUGAAUGGGGUGCUGGAUGAUCUUCUGGACAGUAAUGUACUCACUGAAAAUGAAAAGGAUCUGGUGGAGCAGGGAAAGACCCGGCAGCAGAAGAAUGAGAUAUUGCUGAGCAUGGUGGAAAAGAAAGGGGAUGAGGCUCUGGAGUUGUUCUAUGAAAGCGUUAAGAAAAGAGACCCUUACCUCGUGUCCUAUCUCAGCCAGUGGAAUUUGUAAACAGCUCAGACAGACAGAAAGAGGAAAUCUGGGUCUCCACUGGAAAUAAAUAAAUGGGAAAAUGAUCAUUUAUUUCAGUGGUUAUGGUAGGAGAAGACUGGAUAUCAUCUACCCAACAUGUAGGCUUCGGAGACAGACAUGCAACCUGGUCCAUAACUAUUGACUGUAUUCUAAUACCUUAAACUCAAGAAUAUCUGAAGAGAGUAGUAAUAUAUUUUUUAAGCUUUAUCUAACCCAGGCUUUAAAAAAUAGCUAUUUCAUUCAUCUAUACAUUUCUUGGAGACCUAGGGUAAAGGAAGGCAAGACAGGUUUGUUUAUGAUUGGCAUAGAUUGGAAAGGCAAAUCAUGAUUAAUGCGAAAAUCUAUACCUGUGAACACUCCACUUGAAGUUUCACCUUCUCACAAUGAAAGAUAGGAAGGCUGAUAAAAACUUCACAAUUGGGGAAAAGAAAGAAGCAAAGCAUUUAAUGGACACAAAAGUGGGAAAUUAUCUGCUGAUGAUAAUGUAUUCAGCAAUAUUUUUGAAUGGACUAAUUAAUAUGCAGUGUAUUAAUGGGGAAUUUGACUUUGUGCGCUAUGAAGAUGAACAGUGAUUAAAUGUAAAAAAAAAA